AAUAAAAUGCUAUAUUUUACGGACUGAAGAAUGAUAAAAAAUAUUUUACUGGCUAGCUUAUAGCUUAAACUUAUCCCCCUUUGAUACCCGGCCUGUUUAACAACAUGUUAAUUUCUUAGAUGAUACCUGCUUCUUUUAUUUUAUUUAAAAAUAAAUUUAGCUGGAAAUGUGAAUCAGCUAGGAUUAAUUCGAACUUGGGUCUCAGGUAUCAACCGCCAAACUCUUUGCCACUUGCUCUAGGGACGGUCGGUCUAGACACC
rnacentral:lncRNA from 1 species